GUCGAACGCUUUGUGGUUCAACUGAUUUGAAGAGCUUGCUCAGAUAUGACGAUGGACAUUGCAAAGAGUGGCGAACGGGUGAGUAACACGUGGGAAACCUACCUCUUAGCAGGGGAUAACAUUUGGAAACAGAUGCUAAUACCGUAUAACAAUGACAACCGCAUGGUUGUUAUUUAAAAGAUGGUUCUGCUAUCACUAAGAGAUGGUCCCGCGGUGCAUUAGCUAGUUGGUAAGGUAAUGGCUUACCAAGGCGAUGAUGCAUAGCCGAGUUGAGAGACUGAUCGGCCACAAUGGGACUGAGACACGGCCCAUACUCCUACGGGAGGCAGCAGUAGGGAAUCUUCCACAAUGGGCGAAAGCCUGAUGGAGCAACGCCGCGUGUGUGAUGAAGGGUUUCGGCUCGUAAAACACUGUUGUAAGAGAAGAAUGACAUUGAGAGUAACUGUUCAAUGUGUGACGGUAUCUUACCAGAAAGGAACGGCUAAAUACGUGCCAGCAGCCGCGGUAAUACGUAUGUUCCAAGCGUUAUCCGGAUUUAUUGGGCGUAAAGCGAGCGCAGACGGUUAUUUAAGUCUGAAGUGAAAGCCCUCAGCUCAACUGAGGAAUUGCUUUGGAAACUGGAUGACUUGAGUGCAGUAGAGGAAAGUGGAACUCCAUGUGUAGCGGUGAAAUGCGUAGAUAUAUGGAAGAACACCAGUGGCGAAGGCGGCUUUCUGGACUGUAACUGACGUUGAGGCUCGAAAGUGUGGGUAGCAAACAGGAUUAGAUACCCUGGUAGUCCACACCGUAAACGAUGAGUGCUAGGUGUUUGAGGGUUUCCGCCCUUAAGUGCCGCAGCUAACGCAUUAAGCACUCCGCCUGGGGAGUACGACCGCAAGGUUGAAACUCAAAGGAAUUGACGGGGACCCGCACAAGCGGUGGAGCAUGUGGUUUAAUUCGAAGCAACGCGAAGAACCUUACCAGGUCUUGACAUCCCUUGACAACUCCAGAGAUGGAGCGUUCCCUUCGGGGACAAGGUGACAGGUGGUGCAUGGUUGUCGUCAGCUCGUGUCGUGAGAUGUUGGGUUAAGUCCCGCAACGAGCGCAACCCUUAUUACUAGUUGCCAGCAUUCAGUUGGGCACUCUAGUGAGACUGCCGGUGACAAACCGGAGGAAGGUGGGGAUGACGUCAAAUCAUCAUGCCCCUUAUGACCUGGGCUACACACGUGCUACAAUGGCGUAUACAACGAGUUGCCAACCCGCGAGGGUGAGCUAAUCUCUUAAAGUACGUCUCAGUUCGGAUUGUAGGCUGCAACUCGCCUACAUGAAGUCGGAAUCGCUAGUAAUCGCGGAUCAGCACGCCGCGGUGAAUACGUUCCCGGGUCUUGUACACACCGCCCGUCACACCAUGAGAGUUUGUAACACCCAAAGCCGGUGGG
rnacentral:rRNA from 1 species